UGUUAUUGGCCAGUUGCUGGAGAAU
rnacentral:piRNA from 1 species